AGUGAACGCUGGCGGUAGGCCUAACACAUGCAAGUCGAACGGCAGCACAGGAGAGCUUGCUCUCUGGGUGGCGAGUGGCGGACGGGUGAGGAAUACAUCGGAAUCUACUCUGUCGUGGGGGAUACCGUAGGGAAACUUACGCUAAUACCGCAUACGACCUACGGGUGGAAGCAGGGGACCUUCGGGCCUUUCGCGUUUGAAUUAGCCGAUGUCGGAUUAGCUAGUUGGCGGGGUAAAGGCCCCCCAAGGCGACGGUCCGUAGCUGGUCUGAGAGGAUGAUCAGCCACACUGGAACUGAGACACGGUCCAGACUCCUACGGGAGGCAGCAGUGGGGAAUAUUGGACAAUGGGCGCAAGCCUGAUCCAGCCAUACCGCGUGGGUGAAGAAGGCCUUCGGGUUGUAAAGCCCUUUUGUUGGGAAAGAAAUCCAGCUGGCUAAUACCCGGUUGGGAUGACGGUACCCAAAGAAUAAGCACCGGCUAACUUCGUGCCAGCCGCCGCGGUAA
rnacentral:rRNA from 1 species